AUACGAAGGUCCCAAGCGUUAUUCGGAAUCACUGGGCGUAAAGAGUACGUAGGCGGUUUGGUAAGUCAGGUGUGAAAUCCCGGAGCUCAACUCCGGAACUGCAUCCGAUACUGCCAGACUUGAGUAAUGGAGAGGCAGGUGGAAUUCUCGGUGUAGCAGUGAAAUGCGUGGAUAUCGAGAGGAAGACCAAUGGCGAAGGCAGCCUGCUGGACAUUUACUGACGAUGAGGUACGAAGGCUAGGGGAGCGAAAGGGAUUAGAAACCCCAGUAGUCC
rnacentral:rRNA from 1 species